rnacentral:lncRNA from 1 species
UUUUUUUUUUUUUUUUCUUUUUUACUAAAGAGAUUUAGGCUUCAAGAGGUUAAAAAAAUAUUCCCAAGAUCACAUUAGAGGCACCAGGAUUCGAACCAAAUUGUCUUACUUUUUAGUCACAAUACAAUUGUGUGUUUCAAUUGUGUGUAAUCAGGGUUACAGAUGUACUUAACAGAAUUACUUUUUCUGUUAAAAUGAAAUUUUCUGUAAACUGGAAAAUUUUAUAAGUAAUAACUUAAUUCUUUUUGUUUCAGUUCUUGUUGAACUAUUCAUCUACCUCACUAAGUUGUGGUGCACUAUGCAACUGGCCUGUAGGCAUCCUUAAAAUUGAAAGAAUAAGAUUGUGAUAGUACUUAAACAUUUCAUCAAGAUAGAUCAGUUUGUGCUGAUCCAAUAGAAAGUACUGAAGACAUACAUGCUGUCCAGCCUGUGGUAUUGUUCAUUUGGCUCAAUUGGAUGGCAUUUCCCUAAAGAUUCUGAAUCUGAGGGAUUCUUUUUCACCAAAGCAGUGAUAGUUCCUGUUGAGGCAGUAGAAAACAAUGUUCUCAGAAUGAGUCUUCUCCUGGAUUCUGGACUCUUUUUUUCAAAUAGUGAGCCAUUUGUAUGUCAACUCUUCAGAAAGCCGGUCUUUGAACCAGAGUUGCAUUUAGUGUCAGGGCUACUGACACACGGGUCACCAUGAGGCUAGUGUCCCCUUUCUUUCCCUCAAACUUCAUUUUAACCUAGAAAUAAUUUAUAUUGGUUUAUAGGUUGGGUGCAAUUUGGAAAGGACAGGAAGACAGGACAGGAAGAGCUCCACAAUUCUUAAUACUGCAAUAAGAUCUUUCUGGAUGAUAAAACUUUAAGGAGACCUGUUUAAUUUUCAUUUCUGUUAAUUCUUAAUUUUGCAUUGUAAAAUUGUAAGAUACUUAUCUAAAUGAUUUUUUUCAUUUUAAAAUGUGAUAGAGAAUAUCUUAAGGGUAUUACUUGUCUAACAUAAACCCCUUUUGCAUCUUCUGCAUUUUCCUCCCUCCUUGUCCCUGUUAUAGGAAUGUCUCCAACCUCUCCAAAUUCAUGAGGGGAAAAAAAAAUUCAUGGAGAAGAAAUUUCAGCAGUAUAUUACAAUUCUUUUUAAAAUGCUUAUAUUCUUCCCAGGAAUGACCAGGAAGCUUAAAUAUAGGUCUUUCAUCAGUAAGGGAAACCAGCGUUUGACUAUCACUUAAAAUUUAAGAGAAAACAAGAUGUAUUAAUUUGUGAACUCCUAGCUAGUUAAUGGUUCUUAUUAAAGUUAUUAUUAAAUUUUUAAGGUGAAAUGCACAUAGGAUAAUACUCCAAAACUUUAAGGAAAAAAGGAUGCAAACCAAAGUACUUAAAAUUGCUGAUAAAGUUGAGGUCACUGACAUUUUAGGAUUGAGACUAUACUAAUCCCUUUUUACAGAUUCACACAGCACGCUUAUUUUACAAAUUCAGAAACCGGCCUAAGGAGGUUAAGUUGUUGAUGCAAGGUCAUUCACUCAAUAACACAGCCUGUAUUUUUAAAACCAUGCAUCCUGCUUCUUGAAGUGUAUCUCUUGCCGGCACCUCAAAUUCAGUAAGGGCCAAACUGAUAUACCUCCAUUCUUCAAACCUUUUUAUCUCUUCUCUCUCUUGAUGGGUAGUGACAGCACUGUGUAUGCAGUAGUCUCAGCUACAAACCUGGUCAUCAUCAGUUUCUCAUUUUCUCUUACUUUCCACCAUUAAUUCACAUUUUUUUACAGUUCUAUUUGUGGCAUGUCCCUCAAACCUGUGUUCUCUAUUGUCACUGCCACUAUACUAGUAGACAUCAUCUCAUUACUGAUGCCAACAUCAGUUGGGGAUUAGGCAUUGAAUUCCUUGUACAUUUUUAUUUUUAAUAAAAAAUGAUGGUCUAUAUUUUAAAAUACGAUUAGAAGGCAAAGCACUUUAGGCUGCAACAAGAUGAUGAUAAAAAGUAGACAUCUAGAAUGAAAUAUACCCGGGUUCAGACAAAAGAAAUGCUUUAUGGUGGGAUUGAGGCAUCAAAUGAUAGGGACUUUGAAGAAUACUUUGGCAUUUAGGACCAGUUAGGGACUUAAGAGCAACAGAACUGUAAGGCACGAACUUACAAAACUGAUAAACUUUAAACUGUAUGUUCACCUUUUAUUAAAGCUUCCUCCCCACCCCCUGCCAUAAUAAAAGCUCAUCUAUUUGUGGUGGUGGUGGUCAUUUUAUAAGAGCUUAGAUGAAAGAAGAGUCCAUUGCUGGAAACCUUUGGGAUCCUACUGCUAAUCACAUCGUAAGUAAAUGAGUAGCUCCAUAAUCAGGUGAGCCCAUAUUCAAAAGGAUUUCUUUGCUUUUUACAACUGACUUUUUCCCUAAAGAAACAUCAAAAGUGGUCUGCCUCCUAUGUAACUUUUUGUUUUUAAGAUUUUAUUUAUUUGAGAGCACAUGAGGGAGGGGAGUGGGCAGAAGGAGUAGAGGGAGAAGCUGACUCCCUGCUGAGCAGGGAGCCCAACAUGGGGCUCGAUCCCAAGACCCUGAGAUCAUGACCCGAACCAAAGGAAGAUGCUUAACUGACUGAGCCCCCAGGCACCCCAGUGAAUUGUUUUUUUCAAUAGAAGACUCAAUACUGGUUUUGGAUGUUGGGCUGUCAUGUAUUACCUCAAGUUCUGUCCUGACCACUUCACUGAAAUGCUCUCAAUAAAGUCCCCCACCAACUCACGUUUCUCCCCAACCUCGUUUCUAAAUCCUAUGGAUGUUUCUUAGAUAGACCUCACCUCAUUGAACAGCUUUUGACAUAUUCUUUCCUUCUCACACUACACUAUCCUGACUUCCUCCUGUUUCACUGGUCCCUCUUCUCUUUGCUAAUAUCCUCCCCCCUUUUCCAAUCUUUACAGUUUGGAAUUCCUUGGGAUACAGUAAUCGAUUCUCUCUCUAGAAGUACUCCCCCCAAGGAGAUUUCACUAAGUCCCAGUUACCUGUCAUACAUAUGCUAGUGGUAUCCACAGUUAGGUCUUCUACUUGACAUCUCCACAUGGGUAUCUCUGGCAUUUCCAUUUCCAUGAGACCACAACAACCCUUGACUCCCGCUCCACACCUGUUCUACCUCCAAUCUGCCUUAUUUUAAGAAAUAAUCAUCGUUUACCCAGUUGCUCAAGGAAUGCUUUUUUCCUCAUCAAGGAUUUUCAGAUAGACUGAAUCUGAAUGGUUCUCGUCAUGUGCACCACUACCAUCUUAGUCCAAGCCUCACUCACCUUUUACCUGUACUUCCGUGACAGCUUCCUGCUUCCACUCUUUCUCUUCUCAGGUCUCUUAUUUUUAGAAUUGAUUUAUUACCUUCUGUCCAUUGAACAUUUGUGUUUUCCAUUAUCAUAGUUUCAGAUAUAUUCUUUUCAUAAUGACAAUUAUCUCCUCUUCUUUCCCACUUGUACUUUGUGGUCAGGUAAUAAGGAAAGCGAACUUGAUGUGUAUAUGCCUAUUAGGUGCCAGGCACUGUGUUGAAGAGGUUCACAUAUAUUAUCUAAUUUCUCAAUAAUUUUUGCAGUAGGUAUGAUUAUUGCCAUUUCACAAAUUAGGAAACUGAAGGCAUACCAAAAUUAAGAAACUUACCUACAUUUUUUAAUAGUGGGAACUGCAAUCGAAACCCUGUUCUUUCUGACUCCCACUUUCCUGGCACUGUUCUGCCUCUGGGGGGUUUUCCUCCAUUGUCCCCUCCUGAAGUCCCUGGUUUCUCCUCAACUUUGAUUUAUAUUCCUUUAUUGCUUUUGCUUAUUCUGCCUUCUUUUCCUUCAAAUUCUUGACUCGGGUUUUUUUCUCUCACAUUCUGCAUUUCCUCUUAUUAUACUCACUGAUCUAUUCUUAUCCACAAAUGAUACUCAAUACUCGAUUUUCAAAGGGCCGUCUGUAGGAUUAGUUUCAUAACUGCUAUCUACAUAAAAGCCAUUUAAAGAUGUUAAGCCUGAGGGCACCUGGGUGGCUCAGUCAGUGAGGCAUCUGCCUUUGGCUCAGGUCAUGAUCCCCGGGUCCUGGGAUGGAGCCCUGUGUUGGGCUCCCUGCUCAGUGAGGAGUCUGCUUCUCCCUUUGCCCCACCUGCCUCAUGCUUUCUCACACAUGCUCUUUCUCUCCAA